rnacentral:rRNA from 1 species
AGAGUUUGAUCAUGGCUCAGAUUGAACGCUGGCGGCAUGCUUUACACAUGCAAGUCGAACGGCAGCACAGGGAGCUUGCUCCCGGGUGGCGAGUGGCGCACGGGUGAGUAAUACAUCGGAACGUGUCCUGUUGUGGGGGAUAACUGCUCGAAAGGGUGGCUAAUACCGCAUGAGACCUGAGGGUGAAAGCGGGGAUCGCACGACCCUCGCGCCAAUUGGAGCGGCCGAUGCCCGAUUAGCUAGUUGGUGAGGUAAAGGCUCACCAAGGCGACGAUCGGUAGCUGGUCUGAGAGGACGACCAGCCACACUGGGACUGAGACACGGCCCAGACUCCUACGGGAGGCAGCA